CAUUGCUAUCGGUGUCCGAUUUAGCCAUGCUAUGUUGUACGAGUUUAGACUCGUAGCGAAUAGCUCAGUAACACGUGGCCAAACUUACCCUGUCGAUCGGGAUAACCUCGGGAAACUGAGGCUAAUAGUUCAUACGGGAGUCAUGCUUGAAUGCCGACUCCCCGAAACGGCUCCGGCGCUGUAGGAUGUGGCUGCGGCCGAUUAGGUAGACGGGUGGGGUAACGGCCCACCGGUGCCAAUAAUCGGUACGGGUUGUGAGAGCAAGAGCCCGGAGACGGGUAUCUGAGACAAGAUUCCGGGCCCUACGGGGCGCAGCAGGGCGCGAAACCUUUACACUGCACGCAAGUGCGAUAAGGGGACCCCAAGUGCGAGGGCAUAUAGUCCUCGCUUUUCACGACUGUAAGGCGGGUCGUGGAAUAAGAGCUGGGCAAGACCGGGUGCCAGCCGCCGCGGGUAAUUCGGGGCG
rnacentral:rRNA from 1 species